rnacentral:lncRNA from 1 species
GAACUAUGGUGUUGGUCACAAACGAGCUCAGAUCUGGCGUUGCUGUGGCUGUGGCGUAGUCCGGUGGCCUUAGCUCCUAUUUGACCCCUUACCUGGGAACUUCUGCAUGCCGAGGGUUCAGCCCUUUAAAAAAAAAAGGAUAAAAUGUGGGCGAGGUAAGGUAAUCUUGGUGACUGGAAAUCCAAGAAUCAAAGACCUGUUCAGCCAGUUCUUUUUGUGUUGGGAAAACAUUGCUUCAAGAGAUCUACCUUGCUCAGAGUCAGCCCCGCAAAUAUAUAAGUGAACGUUGCCUGAAUCUCCUCCAUCGACUUCUGGCCGAGAACGACUUAAGAGCCUGAGGUUCCACAAUCCAGGACUCAGCUCCCACCCGGGUCUCCAGGAAGGGAGGAGAGCCCAUCACACGCUUGCUUCUCUUGGAUUCCAGGUUGGAAACUGAGUCAGGCACCUAGCAGCGGAGAGAAACAGGGAUCAGAGUCCAAUUUAUCUGUUCUCUGCAGUCUGUCGGAGAAACUCUGCUGGACAGCAAGAGUCUGAAGAUUGGACGGGAACUGACUCACGUGGAAUCUUUUCACGACAAGACCAAGUAACAGAGUCUGGAACAUGUCAUCCCUGUUCUCGAGGGACACCAAGAGCUUGGUCAGAGAGCUGGGCAGGAAAGAUGAACUGGUGCCUGUGAACAGCCUGGCCAGUGCCCUGCGCCUGCGCCUCUUCUGCCUGGUGAGGAAGAAGCACAGGCACCACCUUUGCCCUUGGGACCCCUCAUCGCCACGGACUUCUCCCUCAUGGAUGCCUUAGAGCCUGGCUCCCCCAUCCCAGAGGUGAGCCGGAGUGAACCCAUCCACAUCCAGGAGACGGUGGCAGCAGCCAUGAUGGGGGCCAUGAGCAUGGGCACCAGCGGGCUGCUGGGGAAUGUGACCGGGGGCGGCGUGGCGACCCGCAGCUCUGCCCUGGCUGUGCAGACUCUCAGGGUGUCCCCCAGCACCUGGGAGACUCUGGUGGAGACGAGGUAAGAGCUGCCAGGGCACAUCAACCAGGCGGGCUGGGCUGUCCUCUCUGUAGGCGGAGUCCCCCACCCCCCAGCCCGGGCUGGAGGGGAGCAUGGGGGGC